GCAUAUCAAUAAGCGGAGGAAAAGAAACCAACAGGGAUUGCCUCAGUAACGGCGAGUGAAGCGGCAACAGCUCAAAUUUGAAAUCUGGCUCUUUUAGGGUCCGAGUUGUAAUUUGUAGAAGAUGCUUUGGGUGUAGCUCCGGUCUAAGUUCCUUGGAACAGGACGUCAUAGAGGGUGAGAAUCCCGUACGUGACUGGGUGCUUUCGCUCGUGUAAAGCUCUUUCGACGAGUCGAGUUGUUUGGGAAUGCAGCUCAAAAUGGGUGGUAAAUUUCAUCUAAAGCUAAAUAUUGGCCAGAGACCGAUAGCGCACAAGUAGAGUGAUCGAAAGAUGAAAAGCACUUUGGAAAGAGAGUUAAACAGUACGUGAAAUUGUUGAAAGGGAAGCGCUUGCAACCAGACUUGCGCGCUGUUGAUCAUCCGAGGUUUUCCCCGGUGCACUCGGCAGCGUUCAGGCCAGCAUCGGUUUUGGUGGGCGGAUAAAGGCCUUGGGAAUGUAGCUUCUUUCGGGGAGUGUUAUAGCCCUCGGUGCAAUGCGCCCUACCGGGACCGAGGACCGCGCUUCGGCUAGGAUGCUGGCGUAAUGGUUGUAAGCGACCCGUCUUGAAACACGGACC
rnacentral:rRNA from 1 species